AGUGAACGCUGGCGGUAGGCCUAACACAUGCAAGUCGAACGGCAGCACAGUAAGAGCUUGCUCUUACGGGUGGCGAGUGGCGGACGGGUGAGGAAUACAUCGGAAUCUACUUUUUCGUGGGGGAUAACGUAGGGAAACUUACGCUAAUACCGCAUACGACGUACGGGUGAAGGCAGGGGAUCUUCGGACCUUGCGCGAUUGAAUGAGCCGAUGUCGGAUUAGCUAGUUGGCUGGGUAAAGGCCCACCAAGGCGCCGAUCCGUGGCUGGUCUGAGUGGAUGAUCGGCCGCACUGGAGCUGAGACACGGUCCAGACUCCUACGGGAGGCAGCAGUGGGGAAUAUUGGACAAUAGGCGCAAGCCUGAUCCAGCCAUACCGCGUGGGUGAAGAAGGCCUUCGGGUUGUAAAGCCCUUUUGUUGGGAAAGAAAAGCAGCAGGUUAAUACCCCGCUGUUCUGACGGUACCCAAAGAAUAAGCACCGGCUAACUUCGUG
rnacentral:rRNA from 1 species